GACGAAGGGUGCUAGCGUUGUUCGGAAUGACUGGGCGUAAAGGGCGCGUAGGCGGUCUUUUAAGUUAGGCGUGAAAGCCCCGGGCUCAACCCGGGACGUGCGCUUAAGACUGGAUGGCUUGAGUAUGGAAGAGGUAAGUGGAAUUCCUAGUGUAGAGGUGAAAUUCGUAGAUAUUAGGAAGAACACCAGUGGCGAAGGCGGCUUACUGGUCCAUUACUGACGCUGAGGCGCGAAAGUGUGGGGAGCAAACAGG
rnacentral:rRNA from 1 species